CAAAGCCCGGGCACCUUGAUUGUGUGCUGGCCGCCAGGCUGAAAACAUCAGAGUCACCAAUGACACCAGAGUGUCACACAGGCCCGGGAGCCACAGGCCCGGGAGCCACAGGCCCGCCCGGGAGCCACAGGCCCGCCCGGGGCCGCUGCGCUCCGCCGCCCACAGAGGGAGUCAAGGCCCGCUGGCGCCCGAGCCGGGGCACCGCAGCAACGCCCACACCGAGCAGAAAACCAUGCGCUGGUGAUAAAGCAACUGUGUGAAGUCUGUCACAGAAGCACUGCCUGGCAAUAAGCACAUUGCUGAAGGUGCCACAUCCAAAAAGUUUUUGACCACCUCCAGGGAUGGAGACUCCACCUCUGCCCUGGACAGCCUGUGCCAGGGCCUGACAGCCCUUUCUGUGAAGCAAUGUCUUGAAGACAAGAGGAACAGAACUGCAUGCCAUCUGUAUCCUGAGCGCAGGUGAAUCACUAUAAUUACACAAAAUAGUAGCAUAA